rnacentral:rRNA from 1 species
GAUGAACGCUGGCGGCGUGCCUAAUACAUGCAAGUCGAGCGAACGGACGAGAAGCUUGCUUCUCUGAUGUUAGCGGCGGACGGGUGAGUAACACUUGGUUAACCUACCUAUAAGACUGGGAUAACUUCGGGAAACCGGAGCUAUUACCGGAUAAUAUUAUGAACCGCAUGGUUCAAAAGUGUAAGACGCUCUUGCUGUCACUUAUAGCUGUAUCCGCGCUGCAUUAGCUAGUUGGUAAGGUAACGGCUUACCAAGGCAACGAUGCAUAGCCGACCUGAGAGGGUGAUCGGCCACACUGGAACUGAGACACGGUCCAGACUCCUACGGGAGGCAGCAGUAGGGAAUCUUCCGCAAUGGGCGAAAGCCUGACGGAGCAACGCCGCGUGAGUGAUGAAGGUCUUCGGAUCGUAAAGCUCUGUUGUUAGGAAAGAACAUAUGUGUAAGUAACUGUGCACAUCUUGACGGUACCUAAUCAGAAAGCCACGGCUAACUACGUG